rnacentral:lncRNA from 1 species
AGACUUAUGCUGUUCUUAACAAUAACUGAUAAGACCCUUGGAUCCAAAUAAUGUGAACCACAAGGUAUUGUGAUUUUCCAUCAAUGUUUGAAAGAUAAAAAUAUUAAUAUGGACAGCAGAUCUUCAAGAUAACUCAGCAAAGGAAGCAUUAUUAUAUUACUGUUUGCUGGGCAGCUGUGUAAAAUAUGAUAGGUUGUUCUUAAAAUACUCAUGUAACAAAAGCUCUCUGGGAUAUACAAUAUGAUUAUACUUCAUGUUAUUUCUAGCUUUGUACCUGAGAAAACACCCAGAUAAACUUAGCAGAAUAUGGUAAAUAAAAACCAUAUGUUCACCAAUCUAUUUUUAAUAUCCACAUUGUAUAGAAUAUAUGCUUAAUAUAUCAUUUUUCAAUGACAGUUUUAUGUCUGCUAAUAGUUAUCUUGACAAUCUUCUUGUUAUUGAAAAUAAGUGGUCAAUAAUGAAAAUGCCAAGGUAGUUAAAAAAGAUAUAAUGACAAAGAAAAAAGUUAGUGAUUAACUGAUUUCUGUUUCAUUUCCAUCAUUUAAAAAAAAAGUAAUACUUUAAAGAGAAAGUAAACAGCAUGUUAUAAUUUAUUAUUAAAAUAUAAAGGGUAAAUUCAUAUUUUACUGAAUUCUUCAGAGCAAAAUGUGUGGGCAGGUAUGCAUUUGAAUCCUAAAUUUUUUACACUUGAGCAGAUCUACAACUGCUGAUUGAAGAAUGUUUUGGUGCCAUGUGUCCCCUGUAGCCCAUCCCAAGCACUCACCGGAGGUGUCUUCAUCUGGGGGAGACCUCCCUGGGAACAUAAUAGCCAAAGAGGGCUGCCAUCAAGUCCUUCCUCCUGGAAUAUGCACGUUCUUCCUCACAUCAAAAGAUGCCACUAGAGGGACUAGUAUUAUCAGAAGUGUCUUUCAGAAGCAUCAGCAGAAAAUCUAAAAGGAAGAUGUAUUAAAGUGAAAAUACCAGGUAAUGAUUUCUGGAUUUAGAAUGUUUUAUGAAAAAUAAAAACUAUUUUCCUGCAUUGAUUCAUCUUACUUCUAUAGACUUUAUUUCACAAUAAUUGGCAUUCAAUGUACUAUUUAGAAUUAUUACACCUCACAUCCAAUUUUAAGUAAUUAAAAAUAAUGUAUUAAAAAUAAUCCUUCAAUAGUUUGUAUUGUGUGUGAUCUGUUGUUAAAAGUGUGACUCUUUUAAAUGUUUUAGGGUGCUAGCCUUAUUUUUUCAGUUUGGAGGCACUAUAGUGUCAAAAAAAACUCUUACCAUAUUUCUAAAGUAGGUUAAAUGAAAAUUAAAUCAGUGGUUCUGUUAAGAUUAUAGGUAAUGCGUGGAAAUCUCAGGAAUAUGUUCAUCUCAGGAUGAUAGUCAAAACAACUGAUUUCAUAUUUAUUAAGCAUUUACUACAUUGAAAUCAUUUUGCCUUGGAAGAAGAGAUGACAUAGUCAAAUUAGGAUACAUUGAGGUUUAAUUUGCAAAGCUAUUUUUUUUUUGCAAAGCUAUUUUAAAGAAAGUAGUGGGCCUCAUAUAGGAGAACCUCAGGGUGAGUAAUCCAGUAACCCUGCAAUGAGGAAGAGAAGAAGCAAUUAAGGAAGGAUAGAGUCCUGUGAAGGAGACAACCUAGAGAUGAGCAGUGAUCUAAGGUCAAGAAAUAUAGCCUGCUAAAGGCGACACCCCAUGGAGAAAACCAGAAGGGAUAGUACCUCUCUUCUCUCCUUAUCUGUGGGCGCUUCCCAUCAUGUAACUCAUGGACGGAGCAGUCUUCAGGGCAGACCUCAGGGUGGAAGGCGGUGAAUCUACAGGGACAAAGGGAGAGUAUGCAGCAAAGGAAUAAAGACUAAAUUGCUUUUGUGAUGAUACGCUGAAGUAUCAACGUACACCCAAGUAUAGGUGUAAGCAAUGUUCUUUAGGGGUUUACAAAACAAGUGAUUAAUUAUGUAUUUGGAAGAUCCAGGAAAGCUUAAAGGAAGGAGAUGGCAUGGCAUAUGAGAUAGUUGAUUGGUAAUGUGCAAAUUGCUAAAAAAUAAACAGAAAUGAUGCAAAAAGUGUAGUUUACUUAGCUAGAAAAAAAUAUAUUUUUUUAAGAUUUUAUUUAUUUAUUCAUGAGAGACAGAGAGAGAGAGAGAGAGAGAGAGGCAGAGACACAGGCAGAGGGAGAAGCAGGCUCCAUGCAGGGGGCCCCGAUGUGGGACUCGAUCCCAGGUCUCCAGGAUCAGGCCCUGGGCUAAAGGUGGCGCUAAACCGCUGAGCCACCCGGGCUGCCCUAGAAAAAUAUUUUGAAGUGCAAAAACAGUUGCUGGACUUACUACAAGUUUUCUGGGGGGGAAAAAAAAAAGGUGUGUACGUUACUUUUUCAGUGUAGUUAAUAAGGGAAAAAUUAAAAUAUUCUUAAUAUUGUGAGCCUGAUUAUUUUCUAUAACUUCUUUUUUGGUUUAUGUUUCUGAGUAGCCAAUUAAAUAGGGAAAAGACAUUAAAACAAAACAAAGGACCCACAUAAAAAGCAUUUGAUUUUCCUUUUAAACUUUAUUUUGUAUUAAUUUACUUUAUCAGUGUAAUAGAUAUAUCUGCUUUAAAUUGUCAAAUGUCAGUAACGGCUAAAAACAAAAAUAAAAAACAAACAGUAGUUGCUAAUAGAGUAGAUUCUAAAUGUUCUCAUCAUAAGAAAAAAGUUAUAACUGUGUUGUGGUGAUGGAUGUUAAUGAGACCUAUUUAGUGAUCAUUUCACCGUAUACUCAAAUAUCAAAUCAUAACACUGUGCACCUCAACUAAUAUGAUGUUACAUGCCAAUUAUAUCUCAAUGUUUUUUUUUUAAAGCUAUUUUGAAAGUUAGAUCAAAACAUUUCAUAAGUUGGGAUGCCUGGGUUGCUUCGUAGUUGAGCAUCUGCCUUCAGCUCAGGUAUGACCCCGGGGUCCUGCCAUUGAGUCCCACAGCAGGCUCCUGCAGGGAGUCUGCUUCUCCCUCUGCCUCCCUCUGUCUCUCAUGAAUAAAUAAAUAAAAUCUUUUAAAAAAUAUCAUAAGUUUAUGCUUGUUUUGCCUGUGAAUUUGAGAAAUUUGACAUUGAAUAGCAAAAAAUGACACUUAAUAAACCAAGCAACCAACCAAUCAACCAACCAACACUUUUCUCCCCGUUCCCAAUUUUCAUGGAUAGUCUUUGGAGUGCUCUUCUCUACUUGGACCACUAUUCGGAGUACGCUGACAAGAGAAUUACUCUCUGUAAAUUUCUGUGAAGUCGAAAUGUGAAUUGUUGCUUUAUUCCUGACCCAGAUAAAAGCUCUCCUAAGGCUUUUUUGAUUCCCAAAGAAUCUGGUCCUCUUAUUACUUCCUCAACUUCUACUCUAUUUAUAUCAAACUACAUUCCUAGAACAUAGCAGAACAUAGGAUUCGGCUCUGGAAGACUACUACUCUCUCAGUCUCACACAAAACAAGGAACAAUAAAAAACCUAACAAUGUCUCUGUCUCUCUCUGUGUCUCUCAUGAAUAAAUAAAUAAAAUCUUUAAAAAAAAUAAGUAUGAGCUGUCACAGCCAGGAGGAUCCUGGGGAGACAAAACAAUUAACUGUAUGUAGUGUGGCAUCCUGGAUGGAUCCUGGAAUUAAAAAAAAAAAAAAAAGAUAAAAAUUAAGGAAAUCUGAAAACAUACAGACUUUGGUUAAAAAAUCCCUAUUUAAAAAAAAUCCCUAUUUAUUGGGGUAUCUGAGUGGCUCAGUUGAUUAAGCAUCUGACUAUUUUGGCUCAGGUCGUGAUGUCAGGGUCCUGGGAUGGAGCCCUCUGUCAGGCUCCAUACUCAGUAGAGAAUCUGCUUCAGUUUCUCUCCCUCUGACCCUACUCCCACUCAUGUUCUCUCUCCCUCACACUCUCUAAAAUAAAUAAAUAUUUCUUUAAAAUAAAUAAAUAAAUAAAUAAUAUAAAUAAAUAUAUCUAUUUAUCAGUAUUGGUUUCUUAAUUGUGAUAAAUGUACCAUGUUAAUGGAAGAUGUUGAUAAUAGGAAAAACUGGGUGUGGGGUAUUUAAGAUCCAUCUGUACAAUCUUUACAAUUCUUCUAUAAAUCUAAAACUGUUCCUAAAAAUAUUUAUUUAAAAAUUGACCAGCUAUAAAACUUCAGUAAUAUAAUUUCUUCCCAAUACUCCCCAGGACCAUUAGCUAAGAACUUUUGAAAAUUGAAUUCACUCUUUUAGGGUUUAGAAUCCUUCAAGAUCAAAGAUGUUACACUUUCUGUGCAUUGAAUUGUCCCAAACCUGAGAACUCUAGUUGAAAUAAGUCUUUUUAACAUUGCUUUCUAAAAGGAAAUAAAUGCCAAUUAUUAAAAUUAUUCAAACAUUUUUGCUUUCGGGGGUAUUCUUAAGAGAAG